UCCCAUUCUUUUUCGAGCUGAUGAAAAUACUGUCGAGUCGAAUUUAAAAGGCUUCUUCGAGACCGCGAGAAUUAUAUGGAGUUGCGAUGUCGGGAGAGCGAGAUAUUAUCGCGAGAGAUUGCGUUGCGGGAAAUCUCUUCUCUAACGUACGUGGAAAUAAAUGACGUUACUCGUUCCUUCGAGCUGAACUAGACCAAACCGGAAGGAUAUGAAGCAAAACUCUUUUUUUUUCCUCGAUAUUAAGUUUAGAAUGCGAUUUAAUUCUGCUCCGCGCGCUUAGCCGUCCGCAGAGCAAAGAUUAUUGUGCGAGAAAAUGCAUAAAUUUAAAAGGAUUUGCCAUCCAAAGAGAUUCGAUUUGCGAGGCAACGCUAAGCACGAAUGUUUGCCGUGUCAGGAGGGACACGGAAUCUUGAUUGGAAAUUCAAAUCCACCGAAGAAUCACGAGAAGAGAUGAACGGGAGAGAGACACAUCGAAACGUGAAUGAAUGUACGGAUCAGGUACGAAGGAAUUAUGUAUUCCUUCUGCUUCUGUGUGGAGACGGCAGAACAGUAAUCGUCGGCACUUUUAUUUAAAACUGCUGGUGCCACUGUUUCAACUCUUGGCGAAUUCCCAACGGUCAACGAUAUAAAUAAUAAAAUUUAACAAUUUUACGCAUAAAUAAAAAGUAAUUUUACAAUA